CCGCAACCAUGUUUGUCAAGGGGAAGUGGGGGGGCGGGAGGAGAAUCACACCAAUAUAGACCCGCUCGGAUGACUAUUUUAUUCAUGCUGCUUCCGGGAAGGGAUGUCAGAGCUGGACCAGUCUGAACUCUUGGAGGCUCUUCCGUUGGCCAAAGGGGAUGCUGUUGGCCUGCUUACGGGUCCUCGAUAUCGAGAAAUUCCUGCUUGGGGGGCGCCGCUCCGCGGUACCACGCACACGAGCCGUCGCUUCUCUUGAUGCAGGCGAAGAACUUGGCCUGAUGUCCGUUGAUGUUCUUCUCCGUGACCCAGUCCAUCCAGAGACAUUCGUCCGGAGACGAGAUGUAGCACGGG
rnacentral:lncRNA from 1 species